AACGUAGGUUCCGAGCGUUAUCCGGAUUUACUGGGCGUAAAGCGCGUUCAGGCUGUUUGGCAAGUCGGGCAUGAAAUCUCUCGGCUCAACCGGGAGAGGGUGUCCGAUACUGCUGGACUUGAGGGCAGUAGAGGGUGGUGGAAUUCCGGGUGUAGUGGUGAAAUGCGUAGAGAUCGGAAGGAACGUCGAUGGCGAAGGCAGCCACCUGGCAUAAUACUGACGCUGAGGCGCGAAAGCGUGGGGAGCGAACAGG
rnacentral:rRNA from 1 species